UGGGGAAUAUUGCACAAUGGGGGAAACCCUGAUGCAGCGACGCCGCGUGAGCGAUGAAGGCUUUCGAGUCGUAAAGCUCUGUCCUAUGGGAAGAUAAUGACGGUACCAUAGAAGAAAGCCCCGGCUAAUUACGUGCCAGCAGCCGCGGUAAUACGUAAGGGGCGAGCGUUGUCCGGAAUUAUUGGGCGUAAAGAGUGCGUAGGCGGCAAAUUAAGUCAGAUGUGAAAACUAAGGUCUCAACCCAUAGAUUGCAUCUGAAACUGAUAUGCUUGAGUCAAGGAGAGGAAAGUGGAAUUCCUAGUGUAGCGGUGGAAUGCGUAGAUAUUAGGAGGAAUACCGGUGGCGAAGGCGACUUUCUGGACUUGAACUGACGCUGAGGCACGAAAGCGUGGGGAGCAAACAGG
rnacentral:rRNA from 1 species